UUCAGUCCCUACAGAAGCUGCAAGGGAAGCCUGUUCCAUGAUUCUUCUGGUUUCUGGUGGUUGCAGGUGUCCUUGGUUUGUGGGAACAUCACUCCAGUAUCUGUCUCUGCCUUCACAUUGCCUUCUUCUCUAGUUCCUGAAAAAUCAUGAGAUCCAACCCAGAUCGAUGAGGCAAGAGCCUUGCUGAGUCUAGAUGAUCCACUAUAGCUGUUUAUAAAUCCAACAAG